CUUUCUACCCUGUGUGAAUGACGACCUGCUGUCUCAGUGCAGCGUGACAAAGACCCUGCCAAAUGAAAGGAAGAUUGUACGCCAUUUAAACACUCCCUAUUGGCCUACUGUCGCCUAGAAGUCAUACAGAUGGACCUAAAUAUGGAUAUCAACAUCUACAGCAAGAUGUACAGGUGAGUCCUCUUGUGACAUUCUUUAAUGUACUUCUAUUUUAUUAUUAAUUCCUAUACACUCUGAACCAAAUUUGUUGAAAAAUAAAGUCAAUCAUGUUCUCUUAUACGCAGACACAACAGAACAGCAGCCUCUACAUGUUGCGAAGCCUACUGCAACAAAAACGUGAUCUUACUGUCUUUGCAACUGAGCACACUCUACCAGCAACACUGACAGCUCACCAGUGGGAGCUGAUAGAUAAGACUGCUCAUGUGCUCUCAUCCAUUGAAGAGCUGACCAGAAACGUGAACAGAAAGACUGCAACUGCACCUGAUGGGAUCCCUGCCAUAACAGAUGUGUUCUGUCCAGUGAAGGCAGUGGAGAAGCCCUACACUGAUGUUGAAACUGUGCCACUCUUCUAGAAACCAGCUACAAGGAU
rnacentral:lncRNA from 1 species